GGGGAAUAUUGGACAAUGGGCGCAAGCCUGAUCCAGCCAUGCCGCGUGUGUGAAGAAGGCCUUAGGGUUGUAAAGCACUUUCAGGAGUGAGGAAGGGCGUAUAGUUAAUACCUGUAUGUUUUGACGUUAACUCCAGAAGAAGCACCGGCUAACUCUGUGCCAGCAGCCGCGGUAAUACAGAGGGUGCGAGCGUUAAUCGGAAUUACUGGGCGUAAAGCGCGCGUAGGCGGUUUGUUAAGUCGGAUGUGAAAUCCCAGGGCUCAACCUUGGAAUGGCACCCGAUACUGGCAGGCUAGAGUACGGUAGAGGGGUGUGGAAUUUCCUGUGUAGCGGUGAAAUGCGUAGAUAUAGGAAGGAACAUCAGUGGCGAAGGCGACACCCUGGACCGAUACUGACGCUGAGGUGCGAAAGCGUGGGGAGCAAAC
rnacentral:rRNA from 1 species